UGCUGGCGACGUCUGCAAUCUGCUCAACCACCAUGUCCUCCUCCCCGUUCUGGACUUUGAGAAGAUUGCGAUCUGCAAGGCCAACCUCAUGCGGUCAUGCUCAUGCAGCCCAUCCAGUACCGCUGCUGUAUAUGUGAGCUACAGUUGCAUUUUUGUGUGCAUGUGGGAUCCCUAAAAAGGCUGAAAUACAGUGUUCGAUGGUAAGAAGAGUUUAAAGGAGAGAAUGUAGAGUCGUGGAUCCUUUUCCAAUGUGUCCUGCUUCUCAGCGGGGGCGAAAGGCCAGAAGGGUGCGAAGUGGUCGUCUUAAAUGGAAGAGUGAAGGAGGACCCGACGGC